UGUGCCAUUAAACUUCAUAAACCCUAACCCCGAGGAUAUUUGUCGGGGGUCGGGUAUUUCUCACUAUCUCAUCAUGGUCACGUGAUAUACCUGCCGUCAUGCAAACGUUCGUCUACUUUUGUCUGGCAACCAUGAUUUGAUGUUACAGGAAACAGAUUCAAAACUGUGAAUCAAAGAAUCUUUGGCAAAGUUCUUACGUUUUUGUAAUAUAAACGAAUAAAAGCAAUCGCUUCAAUAAGAGCGAUUAGUUUCAAUAAAACAAUCUUCUUUAAUCGCUUUAAAUGUCAUUAUAAAAUAUAACGCCCUAUUUUAUGUGAUCAUCAUACAACUACAAAGAAGUCAUGGGACCAACUGUCAAGUGAUUCCUUUUCUAACUUCCCUGCUGUUUAUCCCGGUGAAGAAGAUUUGAUAUGUAUUUAUGAGAAAUGUCAGAACCAUCCAAGUCAAUUUGCUGUAAAUUUAGCUAGAAUGUUAUUUACUCAUGAAGAACUGAGAAAUUCAAACUGUCGUGGAGUGAAGCAGAAACAUGCAUUAGACAAGCAACGUUUAUUGUUCAUACGCAAUGCUGUCACAAAAUUUUAUCAAAUUCCUGCAUCUUAUCAAACAGAUGUUUGGAAACAAUGCAUGCAAGGAAUAGACACAAGAUGCCGCCAGGAAAGACGUCCAAAAUACAAGGAUUUUGUUGCAGCAGAAUUUUAUACUCAGAACUGAUUUUUUUUCUUACACCAAUUUCUAAAACUUUUUUGAGAUAUUAAUUAUUAUGACAUUCCUCUUUUGUAAAGUGACAUUUUAUUCUUUCUUUUUAAAAAAUAUUUUUUCAAUACUAAUGUCUACACAACUUUCCUUGCAUUGCAAAAUAUUAUUACGUUUUUUUUUUCUGUAGCCAACCAAAUUUUUUUGAUUGAAGGACCCAGCCAUCAUAAUUUUAACAUCAUAGCUAUUGGUGAAAGACCAAAGAUCCUAUUAAGUGACAAGCAAACAAUAUACAACAAUGUGAAAAUAUUUUUUUCUUAUUCAUUUUUGAAAGAUUACCGAAGAAAUAAAAGGACUAAAUCAAAUUCUAUUCUCAGAUUGUGUCUGCAUGUUUUAUCAUUUGAUGACUUUAGACAGUAGUUUUUAUUGAAAUAUUAUUAAUGACACACUUUUAAUAUAUUUCUGGAGAAUGAUAUGAUUAUCACUUCAAUUAAUAAACAUAUACGUCUGGCACAGUAUGAUCAGAAUUGGCUCUUGCACCAUUAAAACCCACAAAUCCAAAUCAAUUAAUAAACAUUUAUAAAUGCACCAUUUGAGAAAUUAACUAUUUAAGCUUUUUAUUUUGAAUGGUAAUGUCAUAUUUCAUUCAGCUAUACUUGCAAUUCUGGUUGUUUACUGUAAUAUUUUAUUUUUCUAUAUUGUUCUUAAAAAUGUUUCAUAUUCUGCUGACUUAUAAAAUACAAGAAAACAAACUUUUCAAAAUGCUACAUAUAUCUUCUGGAAUAUUGUACAUUUUGUGGAUGUUAUAUUUUUUAGCCAUUCAAAGUAUUAUUUUUAUAUGCUUUGGAAUCAUAUUCAAAAUUUUGCAUAUAAACUUUGAUGGAAAUGGGCAUAAAAAUUAUAGAAGAAUGUAUGAUAUAAAUUUGCCAUCUUGGAAUCAAAAAUUUUAGUAUCUUUUUUAAAAACUUUGUUAUUAUUCGUGUAUAUAUAUAAAUAUACACUGAUUGGAAAGUAAUUCCAAAAUUUAUAAAUUGUGUUUAGUGACUGAAAUAUUAAUAAAAAUUCAUUUUUAAGUACAUUUUGACUGUUUCAAAUAUUCACUUUUGGAAUAUCCAUUCCUUUAGGUAAAUUGGAAAUUAAUUGAUGGCUUCUGCAUACAGGUUUUGAUGACUUCCUACUUGGCCACUUUUUGUUAUACUGUAUUAUUUUUUUAAAGAUUUUAGUAUCUGGUAUUAUAUAGAGAUUCAUAAACUUCUUGCUUUAGAGCCUUUUCCUGCCAAAUAAAUCUUUAUCUAAUUUGUUUGUAAAUAUUUUAAUGAUUAUUUAAGAAAAUGUAGAAAUUUAUCUUGUAAUGUAUAAAGAAAAUUAUUUUAAUGCAAGUAUUUGACAAAUAUAAAUUAGUCAAAUUGAGUAAGUUUUCAGAAUUAUUUUAGAUUUUCAGUGUUAAACAGUCCUAUACAAAACUGCAUAUUGUAAGAAAUUUUAUAGUUUUAAUACAUUUGGAAUGAAUUGCAAAUAAAAUUUUUUAGAUGGGGUCAGAAGAUAUCCCCCCUUCUUACCAUCAAAAUAAUCAACAUGGCAGUAACAAUCUGCAGUUAUCUUGAUGAUUUUCCUAUUUCAGUCUGCUCCAGGUAACUUGAAAGACAUCUGAGGAAGCACCAAAAAGGAAAUCUUUUUUUUUUUUUUCCUUGACUGUGACAAAAGUCCAUUGAAUACUCAUUCUUCUAUUUGUGCAAGGAAGCUAAACUUUGGCAUCUAAUGAAAGAGGAUUCAGUUAUGAAAAAAAUACUGAAGUACAAAAAUUGAAUGUAAUGUCAUAUUUCACAAUGUAUAGUCUAUGAUCAUGUAAAGUAGUGUGGGUGGAAUCCACUCAGUAAACAUUACCUAAGAAUAGAGAAUAUCAUCACAUCAGCCCAUUUAAAAUAUCAUAGAGGAGAUGCUAAAGAAAUAGUUGCCAAUGACAUGUAUUCCUUAUUUGACCAAAAUGGAGAUAUCAUGGAAUCAAGCUCCAAGUAUUUCAUUUUCCUUUUGUUUAUCCCAGCGAUGAAGCGUUAAUGUCCGUUUUUCAGAAAUGUGAAAAUCAUCCUAUUCAGUUUGCUGUAAACAUAGCUUGGAUUCUUUUUACUAAAGAAGAACUACGAGAAUCAAACUGCCAAGGAAAGAAACAAAAAAGUGCUCUAGACAAAAAACGGUUAUUAUUCAUUCAUGAUAGUGUCAUGAAGUUUUAUCAAAUUCCAAUCUCUUCUCAAGCUGAUAUUUGGAAACAGUGUAUUAAAAGAAUAGAUACAAGAUGUCGUCAUGAAAGACAUCCCAGGUUCAAUGAUUUUGCUUCAUCAAAUUCUUUGAAAAGAUUUAUUUCAUAUUAUUAAUACGUUAUGAAUUGAUAUCUAAAUUUGGUAAAUAAAAUAUCUUGUGUUACUGCUAAAA